GUGAGGAAUUUUCCGCAAUGGGCGAAAGCCUGACGGAGCAAUGCCGCGUGAAGGAUGAAGGCCUAUGGGUUGUAAACUUCUUUUCUCAGAAAAGAAUUAUGACGGUAUCUGAGGAAUAAGCAUCGGCUAACUCUGUGCCAGCAGCCGCGGUAAGACAGAGGAUGCAAGCGUUAUCCGGAAUGAUUGGGCGUAAAGCGUCUGUAGGUUGUUUAAAAAGUAUUCUGUCAAAGAUUAGGGCUUAAACCUAGAUAGGCAGAAUAAACUUUUAAGCUAGAGUUUGGUAGAGGCAGAGGGAAUUCCCGGUGGAGCGGUGAAAUGCGUAGAUAUCGGGAGGAACACCAAAGGCGAAGGCACUCUGCUGGGCCAAUACUAACACUGAGAGACGAAAGCGAGGGGAGCAAAUGGGAUUAGAUACCCCGGUAGUCC
rnacentral:rRNA from 1 species